rnacentral:rRNA from 1 species
CUAAGAAUCUUCCGCAAUGGGGGAAACCCUGACGGAGCGACGCCGCGUGAACGAAGAAGGCAGAGAUGUUGUAAAGUUCUUUUAUUGCUGAAGAAUAAAGAUGAGAGGGAAUGCUCAUCAGAUGACGUUAAGCAAAGAAUAAGCCACGGCUAAUUACGUGCCAGCAGCCGCGGUAACACGUAAGUGGCAAGCGUUGUUCGGAUUUAUUGGGCGUAAAGGGCGUGUAGGCGGCUAAUCAAGCUUGGUGUGAAAUAUUCCGGCUCAACUGGAAGAACGCGCUGAGAACUGAAUAGCUAGAGUUUAAGAGGGGGAGAUAGAAUUCCAGGUGUAGGGGUGAAAUCUGUAGAUAUCUGGAAGAAUACCGGUGGCGAAGGCGAUCUCCUGGUAAUAAACUGACGCUGAGGCGCGAAAGUGUGGGGAUCAAACA